rnacentral:tRNA from 1 species
GGGGUUGUGGCUCAAUGGUAGAGCACUUGCCUAGCAUGUGUGAGGCACUGGGUUCAAUUCUCAGCAUCACAU